rnacentral:lncRNA from 1 species
AGGAAAGAAAAAAUGUCAUGGACUUACCGAUAAGUUGAUCUCUGCUCCUUAUAACUCAACAAGACUUCUGAAGACUCCUGCUUCCAAAAAAAUUUGAAGAAGCUAAUUUUAAAUAAUACGCUAAAAGAAAGAAAGCCAAAACUCUCAAAAAAGUGACUCAAAUUUAUUCUCAAAUGUGUGAUUUACAACCCAAGGGUAAAUACUUUUUUUUAUAGCAUUUUCCGAAUGAUCUAGAUGAGUACAAAAAUCUUGAAAGAAAUAAUAAAAUAUUAACUUAGAUAAAAU